rnacentral:lncRNA from 1 species
AAAUGGUUCUCAAACUCAAUCCCAAGGGAUUGGUACUGUCCAAAUUCUACCUUCAAUUUCAGUUGACUCUGUUCUCUAUGUACCUGGUUGUCCAUUUAAUCUUCUUUCAGUCAAUCGUCUAACUCGUUCUCUUGAUUGUAUUAUUACUUUCACUAAUAGUAAUGUUACCUUGCAGGAUCGGAGUUCGGGACGAACGAUUGGCGUCGGAUGUGAGUCUCAAGGCCUUUACUACCUAUCUUUGUCAUCAAAAACAUGCUCCGCCACAGAUUCCUCACUUACAAUCCAUGCUCAGCUGGGUCAUCCAAGUCUUCCCAAACUUCAGAAGUUGGUGCCAAGUUUAUCUAAGUUGUCCGGUCUACAUUGUGAGUCGUGUCAGUUAGGGAAACACACUCGUAGUAACUUUCCCGAUAGAGUCAAUAAACGAGCUUCGUCCCCUUUUGCUUUAGUUCGCUCCGAUGUUUGGGGUCCAUCUCGUACUAUGUCUACUUUACAAUCAAAAUAUUUUGUUACUUUUAUUGAUGAUUUUUCUCGUUGUACGUGGAUAUUUUUAAUGAAUAAUAGAUCUGAAUUAUUUUCUAUCUUUGAGCAAUUUUACCAAGAAAUCAAAACUCAAUUUGGUGUGU